AUUAUACAUAGUUUCUUGUAAAGGAUUCUUCAGAGAAUACACGUUUUAUAAUACGCGUGCGAAGAAGAGAAGUGGCAAAAGUGACGACGAGGAUUUUUGUUACGACUUGUGACACACGAACUGAUGAUUAUCAAAGCGAAGUUUAUAUCAAAGUUGGAUCGGCUAAUGUUACAGGAAGCUGUAAU
rnacentral:lncRNA from 1 species